rnacentral:rRNA from 1 species
GCGUGAGUGAUAAAGGCCUUCGGGUUGUAAAGCUCUUUUGUCAGGGAAGAUGAUGACGGUACCUGACGAAUAAGCUCCGGCUAACUUCGUGCCAGCAGCCGCGGUAAUACGAGGGGAGCUAGCGUUGUUCGGAAUUACUGGGCGUAAAGGGCGCGUAGGCGGUAUCAUAAGUCAGAUGUGAAAGCCCCGGGCUUAACCUGGGAGGUGCAUUUGAAACUAUGAAACUAGAGAUCGAGAGAGGAAAGUGGAAUUACGAGUGUAGAGGUGAAAUUCAU